rnacentral:rRNA from 1 species
AGAGUUUGAUCAUGGCUCAGGAUGAACGCUAGCGGCAGGCCUAACACAUGCAAGUCGAGGGGUAACAGGGGAGCUUGCUCUCGCUGACGACCGGCGCACGGGUGCGUAACGCGUAUACAAUCUACCUUUUGCUGAGGGAUAGCCCAGAGAAAUUUGGAUUAACACCUCAUAGUAUGUAUUAAUGGCAUCAUUAAUAUAUUAAAGGUUACGGCAAAAGAUGAGUAUGCGUUCUAUUAGCUAGAUGGUGUGGUAACGGCACACCAUGGCAACGAUAGAUAGGGGCCCUGAGAGGGGGAUCCCCCACACUGGUACUGAGACACGGACCAGACUCCUACGGGAGGCGGCAGUGAGGAAUAUUGGGCAAUGGAGGCAACUCUGACCCAGCCAUGCCGCGUGCAGGAAGACUGCCCUAUGGGUUGUAAACUGCUUUUAUACAGGAAGAAACACUCCCUCGUGAGGGAGCUUGACGGUACUGUAAGAAUAAGGAUCGGCUAACUCCGUGCCAGCAGCCGCGGUAAUACGGAGGAUCCAAGCGUUAUCCGGAAUCAUUGGGUUUAAAGGGUCCGUAGGUGGAUAAUUAAGUCAGAGGUGAAAUCCUGCAGCUCAACUGUAGAAUUGCCUUUGAUACUGGUUAUCUUGAGUUAUUAUGAAGUAGUUAGAAUAUGUAGUGUAGCGGUGAAAUGCAUAGAUAUUACAUAGAAUACCAAUUGCGAAGGCAGAUUACUAAUAAUAUACUGACACUGAUGGACGAAAGCGUGGGGAGCGAACAGGAUUAGAUACCCUGGUAGUCCACGCCGUAAACGAUGGUCACUAGCUGUUUGGACUUCGGUCUGAGUGGCUAAGCGAAAGUGAUAAGUGACCCACCUGGGGAGUACGUUCGCAAGAAUGAAACUCAAAGGAAUUGACGGGGGCCCGCACAAGCGGUGGAGCAUGUGGUUUAAUUCGAUGAUACGCGAGGAACCUUACCAGGGCUUAAAUGUAAGUUGCAUGAUUUAGAGAUAGAUCUUUCUUCGGACUACUUACAAGGUGCUGCAUGGUUGUCGUCAGCUCGUGCCGUGAGGUGUCAGGUUAAGUCCUAUAACGAGCGCAACCCCUGUUGUUAGUUGCCAGCGAGUCAUGUCGGGAACUCUAACAAGACUGCCAGUGCAAACCGUGAGGAAGGUGGGGAUGACGUCAAAUCAUCACGGCCCUUACGUCCUGGGCUACACACGUGCUACAAUGGUAGGUACAGAGAGCAGCCACUGCGCGAGCAGGAGCGAAUCUAUAAAACCUAUCACAGUUCGGAUCGGAGUCUGCAACUCGACUCUGUGAAGCUGGAAUCGCUAGUAAUCGGAUAUCAGCCAUGAUCCGGUGAAUACGUUCCCGGGCCUUGUACACACCGCCCGUCAAGCCAUGGAAGUUGGGAGUGCCUGGAGUCCGUCACCGUAAGGAGCGGCCUAGGGUAAAAUCGAUAACUAGGGCUAAGUCGUAACAAGGUA